GCCACCGUAGCUCAGAUGGCCAGAGCAGCUGAUUCGUAAUCAGCAGGUCAGGGGUUCGACUCCCCUCGGUGGCU
rnacentral:tRNA from 1 species